UACGUAGGGGGCAAGCGUUGUCCGGAAUCAUUGGGCGUAAAGCGCGUGUAGGCGGCCCGGUAAGUCCGCUGUGAAAGUCGGGGGCUCAACCCUCGAAUGCCGGUGGAUACUGUCGGGCUAGAGUGCGGAAGAGGCGAGUGGAAUUCCUGGUGUAGCGGUGAAAUGCGCAGAUAUCAGGAGGAACACCAAUUGCGAAGGCAGCUCGCUGGGACGUGACUGACGCUGAUGCGCGAAAGCCAGGGGAGCGAACGGG
rnacentral:rRNA from 1 species